UCCCUGUUAACCUAAUAGCCGGUGUAGAUUAUUGUUUUACACCGGUUAAUAUUAUAACGGGUAUGAAUUUUUUUUUAUCAAUAUUUUCUCUUUUGUAUUAUGCAAUUUCUUUCUCCUUCUCAUUCUUAGUCCUUCGUUCUCCUCUCUUAUCCUUCGUUUCAGUAUCCAUUGUAGCCACCUCGCCUCGAUCCGCAACAUCUCCCGCGUCCACGACGGUGACCUCAACCCUAGCCUCGCUCCUCUCUUACCUCAGCCAACUAACGGUGGCGGCGAAUUCGAAAACGAAGAAGAAAGAACUCUUGUCUCGGUGUGCAGCGCCGAAUCCAUGGUAAGGCUGACGGAGAUGGCGACGUUCUGAGUCCCGUUCUGUACCGCAACCUUGAGCGGAUUUGUGAAGUUCCACAACCUCGCUAAGAUUUCGCGGCCAAACAAGAAUAAAAAGAGGAAGGAGGGAAUGGAAGUGGAAGACGGUAGGCCGUGGGGCAUAACGAUUUCCGUGGUUGAGGUACAAAGACCAGUGGAACAAAGACGAACAACUAACAACCACGGCAGCAGAUGUUCUCUCUUGAGAAUUGGCUUUCUUAUGGAGAUCUCAUCUAUCAGAGAAUUAGCUGAUAUGAUGAAUUAGCCAUGCUAAAGCAAGUAAAUGAGUUUGCUGCAAAUGGUCUCAGUCCUCCAAGAAAGAAUGGAUUUGCCAGGGCAUCCUCCAUGUCACCAAAUGCAAGAAUGACCAGAAUAGCUUCACUUGAGAACAUGCUGAGUAUAUAAUCUAAUUCACUUGUUGCAAUACCUUCUAAACUUUCUGAGGCAGAAGAACGAGAAAGAGCCACUCUAAUCGUGGACGCUGGAAUCAAUUGCGUUCAUUGGGAGAAGCGAAGAAUUUGCUUCAAUAUAUGUUUAAUUCUGCUGCACAUGCUAGGUGCCAACUCUGGGAGAAGGACAUGGAGAUAAGGGAAGUGAAAGAUCAAAUAAAAGAACUUGUUGGUCUCUUACGCCAAAGUGAGAUGAAGAGAAAAUAAGUUGAGAAGGAACUAAAAGUGAGAGAACAAGCUAAUGGAAGCACACUGGCUACACCACCUUCCGUAAGAAUAUUGUUACUGAGUUAUCUGCUAAUUACAUUUACUAAAAACUUUAAUUAAUAAGAUUGUAAUUCAACUUACUUCCUCAUAAGGUAAUUUCUUC